UUAGGCCAAAAAGCGUACAAGGAUGAAGGGCAUUAUUUUUUAAGGCCAAUGUUUUAGGUACGCAACUUUCUGUAUUUAAUUCAGAACUUUGGAAAGUAUUCUGUAGUUCAAUGUACAAUUUUCCAAUUUCAGUCGAAAUAGUGCCACUCAUUUCGCUAAUCUGUGGCUCUUUCAGGGAUUGUGAAACGUCGAUAAAAACAACGGGCUUUUCGUGUAGUAUACUGCCAAUAUGAGCAAUUUCUUAAAUGAACAUGGAUCAUACUGAAGACUCAAAUUUCAACAUCACAUCAGAUAAAACAUAAGACUAUAUGGUAUAAAAGGAUUUUUAACAUGAAUUGAUCCUUUUCUAUUAACUACAAUCAUUUUAUAUAAAGAAUUCAUGUUUCAACAUCAAAUAAUUUCCGACACACUCACUAUGUUGACUAAGGUCUUGACUAUAGCCAACUAUUAUUAUUGAAUAUUAUACCUUAACUUUCAGUUGCAAAUGUAAAACUUUAAUGUCUUCUUUUAAAGCAUUAUUCUAAUAAAUAUUAAAAAACGGG